UUUAAUUGAAGAGUUUGAUCAUGGCUCAGAUUGAACGCUGGCGGCAGGCCUAACACAUGCAAGUCGAACGGUAACAGGGAGCAGCUUGCUGCUCUGCUGACGAGUGGCGGACGGGUGAGUAAUGUC
rnacentral:rRNA from 1 species